GUGCGCCGGCGACCGGUGCCUGACGCGCACCAGCCGAGCGGCAAAGCUCAAAUUUGAAAUCCUGCGGGAAUUGUAAAAAGAAGGUUUCGUGGUCUGAGUCGGCCGCGCCCAAGUCCAUUGGAACAUGGCGCCUGGGAGGGUGAGAGCCCCGUAUGGCGCACGCCGACUCUUUGUACACCGCGGCUCCCACGAGUCGAGUUGUUUGGGAAUGCAGCUCUAAGUGGGUGGUAAAUUCCAUCUAAAGCUAAAUAUUGGCGAGAGACCGAUAGCGAACAAGUACAGUGAUGGAAAGAUGAAAAGCACUUUGAAAAGAGAGUGAAACAGCACGUGAAAUUGUUGAAAGGGAAGGGCUUGCAAGCAGACACGGUUUUACCGGGCCAGCGUCGAAAAGGGGGGAGGAACAAGAACUCGAGAAUGUGGCGCGCACCUUCGGGCGCGCGUGUUAUAGCUCGUGUUGACGCCUCCAUCCCUUUUCGAGGCCUGCGAUUCUAGGACGCUGGCGUAAUGGUUGCAAGCCGCCCGUCUUGAAACACGGAA
rnacentral:rRNA from 1 species